AGGAAUAUUGGUCAAUGGACGAGAGUCUGAACCAGCCAAGUAGCGUGAAGGAUGACUGCCCUAUGGGUUGUAAACUUCUUUUAUACGGGAAUAAAGUGAGGCACGUGUGCCUUUUUGUAUGUACCGUAUGAAUAAGGAUCGGCUAACUCCGUGCCAGCAGCCGCGGCAAUACGGAGGAUCCGAGCGUUAUCCGGAUUUAUUGGGUUUAAAGGGAGCGUAGGCGGACGCUUAAGUCAGUUGUGAAAGUUUGCGGCUCAACCGUAAAAUUGCAGUUGAUACUGGGUGUCUUGAGUACAGUAGAGGCAGGCGGAAUUCGUGGUGUAGCGGUGAAAUGCUUAGAUAUCACGAAGAACUCCGAUUGCGAAGGCAGCUUGCUGGACUGUAACUGACGCUGAUGCUCGAAAGUGUGGGUAUCAAACAGGAUUAGAUACCCUGGUAGUCCACACAGUAAACGAUGAAUACUCGCUGUUUGCGAUAUACAGUAAGCGGCCAAGCGAAAGCGUUAAGUAUUCCACCUGGGGAGUACGCCGGCAACGGUGAAACUCAAAGGAAUUGACGGGGGCCCGCACAAGCGGAGGAACAUGUGGUUUAAUUCGAUGAUACGCGAGGAACCUUACCCGGGCUUGAAUUGCAACUGAAUGAUGUGGAGACAUGUCAGCCGCAAGGCAGUUGUGAAGGUGCUGCAUGGUUGUCGUCAGCUCGUGCCGUGAGGUGUCGGCUUAAGUGCCAUAACGAGCGCAACCCUUAUCGAUAGUUACCAUCAGGUUAUGCUGGGGACUCUGUCGAGACUGCCGUCGUAAGAUGUGAGGAAGGUGGGGAUGACGUCAAAUCAGCACGGCCCUUACGUCCGGGGCUACACACGUGUUACAAUGGGGGGUACAGAAGGCAGCUACACGGCGACGUGAUGCUAAUCCCUAAAGCGUCUCUCAGUUCGGAUUGGAGUCUGCAACCCGACUCCAUGAAGCUGGAUUCGCUAGUAAUCGCGCAUCAGCCACGGCGCGGUGAAUACGUUCCCG
rnacentral:rRNA from 1 species